rnacentral:pre_miRNA from 1 species
AAGAAAAGCGCAUCUAGUUAGUCAAAGGAGACUGCCUGAAGCCACAAUGGGUUUUCGAAAUAAUACAUCGACUAUGAAGUUCAAUGGAACAUGCAAGUCAUCCUUGGCUACUAAAUUACGCUCU